rnacentral:rRNA from 1 species
AAUGAACGUUGGCGGCGUGGAUUAGGCAUGCAAGUCGAGCGAGAACCCAGCAAUGGGGGGACAGCGGCGCAAGGGACAGUAAUGUGUAGAUCAUCUGCCCUCAGGGACCGGGAUAGCUGCGGGAAACUGCAGGUAAUACCGGAUAACAUCUCCGGAUCAAAGGUGUGAUUCCGCCUGAGGAUGAGUCUGCAUCCUAUUAGCUAGUUGGUAGGGUAAGGCCUACCAAGGCAAUGAUGGGGUAGCGGGUGUGAGAGCACGACCCGCGUCAUUGGGACUGAGACACUGCCCAGACACCUACGGGUGCUGCAGUCGAGAAUCGUUCGGCAAUGGGACGCAAGCCUAGACCGAGCGACGCCGCGUGUGGGAUGAGGGCC